AGGAUGAACGCUGGCGGCGUGCUUAACACAUGCAAGUCGAACGGUGAAGUGAGGAGCUUGCUCCUUGCGGAUCAGUGGCGAACGGGUGAGUAACACGUGAGUAACCUGCCCUUGACUCUGGGAUAAGCGUUGGAAACGACGUCUAAUACCGGAUACGACCUCCGAAGGCAUCUUCUGGAGGUGGAAAGAAUUUCGGUCAAGGAUGGACUCGCGGCCUAUCAGCUAGUUGGUGAGGUAAUGGCCCACAAGGCGACGACGGGUA
rnacentral:rRNA from 1 species